rnacentral:lncRNA from 1 species
GAGCUAUCUCUGCUGUUAAGAUUUGCUCCGAUGGGAUAUGGGUAUAAAUGUCCCUCCGACCUGAGACCGCCAUGGUGACUUGCAAGCAACUCACUGCACUUAGGCACUGGACUACCUGAAUUUCUAAUUCAGUGACGGAAGGAUGCUGGGUAUAGUCAAGUACUUGACUUGUCGGUGCGUGUGUCAAGAUGGGAUUGACCACUCCAGUUCAGGAGCUGUGUACAGUC